rnacentral:rRNA from 1 species
CCCUUAGAUGUCCUGGGCCGCACGCGCGCUACACUGACGGAGCCAGCGAGCUUACCCCUUUGCCGAAAGGCAUGGGAAAUCUUUUGAAUCUCCGUCGUGCUGGGGAUAGAUCAUUGCAAUUAUUGAUCUUGAACGAGGAAUUCCUAGUAAGCGCAAGUCAUCAACUUGCGUUGAUUACGUCCCUGCCCUUUGUACACACCGCCCGUCGCUACUACUGAUUGGGUGUUCAAGUGAGAUGCUUAGACCCUUGUUGCAUGGUUCAUUAUUGUGCUCCGAAAGGAAAAAGUUUCAAGCUUGAGUGUCUAGAGGAAGUAAAAGUCGUAACA